rnacentral:tRNA from 1 species
AGUAAGGUGCCUGAAAAAAAGGAUAAUUUUGAUAGAAUUAAAUAUGUGGCCCCCCACUCUUACUAC